CAGGAUUCAGAGGCGUCCAGAAGGUCACGAGUGACCAGUCUCUUAAGCUACCUCCGCAGUUUCUUGCUGUCGCUCCAACAACAUGCGUUCUGCUCCAGGCCUUUGCAUUUGCCAUUCGCGCUACACACUGCGCUCCAAGUCAUCUGUCACAGCGCUCAGGCUGGCCUCCAACUGCAGCUCCUCCUGCCUUUCCAAGUUCCCAGGUGCCAGAGUCACAGAUGUGUGCCAUCAAACUUGGAGGCACAUUAUGCAACAAAGGAGGCCAAUCAGAAAAGGCUCCCAGCGUGGGACUGGAUUCCAGCUCAAGGACAUUCCAAGAAAAGCCAAGACUGUGACACACUACAAAGAUAUCACUGGCCUGGGUGGAGACCAGUGAUACAAGGCUUGUCUUGAAGUAUCUUUCAAACUGAAAAAAAGAAGAAGAGAGUUGGGCUGCCAAGGUGGCUCAGAACCCACAUAAAACUAGAAAGAGAAAAUAAAGUUGUCCUCUGGUCUUCACGUGCAAACAGUGGUUUGUCUUGAAGUGACUAAGGUAACGCCAUCUUGUCUGCCUCUAUUUUGUAUCUGCUUAGACACUUCUCAGCUCCAUACUCCCCAACAGCCUCAUUGGCCUUGGCUACAUACAUAUUUGGCAUCUCCAUGACCUUGAACAUGGUCCAGAUGCAUUAGCCCAAAUAAUUAAUAUUUAUACAAACGAAACAUAAAAAACCAAAAGUCAGAAACUAAAUACACUACUUAAUAUAAAAGAUCUGCUAAGUUAAUUUAGAUUUUAAUAAAAGUGCACUAUAAAAGAACACAUAGGCUUGUUCUUAACCACUGAGCCAUCUCUCCAGCCCAGCGUGAAGCACGGGUCCAAGCAAAGCAAACGUGGCAUUGGGCUUGCCCUCUCCCUUGCUAAACUACUAGAUUCUUAAAGCACCAAGGUCUAGUGCCUUAUUUGGCUACUUACUUAUGCCUGCCUAAAACUCCAAGGUCCAACUAUCAAAACACCAAGGUCCAGCAAUCAAAAUUCAUUCUUUGGUUACAGUGACUAGAAUAUCUAAUCAGGACUUCCCACCUCACCCCAGCCAAGACCUUUUCUCCUUAAAAAGUCACUUUUCUUUGUCCAGUCCAGAUUUACUACCCCACCGUGCCUUCAGGGUAGUGAAUCUUUGUGCUGAGAAUCUGGUGUCUGAGUGAGUUCUCUGCCAAGUCUCAGUAGAUUAUUUUAAAUUCAAGGCCAGCCUGGUCUACAUAGUUUCAAGCUAGCCAAAGCUACAAAGUAAGACCCUGUCUCAAAAACACUUUUUUAAAAAUCACUUCCAGGAGCCCUAUGUGGUAGCUCACACCUUUAAUCCCAGCACUUGGGAGGCAGAGGCAGGCAGAUUUCUGAGUUCAAAGCCAGCCUGGUCUACAAAGUGAGUUCCAGGACAGCAAGGGCUACACAGAGAAACCCUGUCUCGAGAAAAAAAAAAUCACGUCCAGGAUGAAGAGAUUGCUCAGUAGUUGAGAGAGUGUGUGCUGAAGUUCCAGAGAACCUGAGUUUGGUACCAGGCAAGACAUCCUCAGACCCCUGCACAUGCCUGUGUCUAAACACACACAGACAAACAUUCACACGGGUAUGGAUGUCUUGCCUGCAUGUGUAUCUGUGUAUCACAUGCAUGUAGUGCCUACAGAGCUCAGAAGAUGGUGUCAGAUCCCCUGGGACUGGAGUACUGGACAGCUGUGAUCGACCAUGUGGGACUCAAACCUGAGCCGCCUUCUGCAAAAGCAGCCAGUGCUCUUUAACUGCUGAAUCAUGGCUUCCAGCCCCAAGCCCAGACUCUUCACUCCGGUGACUAGUCACUGUCGGUCCCUACAGUGGUCAGUUUCAGUCACCAGAGGUGUGCAAACCUACAAGGGGUACCCCACCCAGGGGGAACCCCAUUGUACCCUGCAGCCUCUGCACUGGAGACAAGAAAGGUGUGAAUGUAGGCUCACUGUAACAAAUGGAGCAGCCUGCUUCCCUGUGCUGGCAGUGGAGGCGGCCGUGGGUGGGUGAGGCAGGCUUCACGGGGACUCUCAGUGCUUUCCCUUGGAUCUCACCGUGUGCCUAAAAACUGCUUGAGGGAAUAUUUUUUUCCCUCCAUGCUGGGUACAGAAUCAGGAGAACUCCUAUAUGCUAGGGAAGUGCUUUGCCACUGAGCCACAUACACAGUUAAUCCGCUUUAAAACAAAAUCUGGAGGAGCUCAGGUCCUGGGGUUCAGAAGGUGACUGGCCUGAGUAUUCAACCUCAGGACCCCACAUAAUGGAAGGAGAACUGACCCCCACAAAUUGUCCUCUUACACACACACACACACACACCUACACACCUGCUUACUUUCAUAUGUAAGCCCACACACAUAAAAUAAAUGAAAAAUUUUUAGACAUGGGGCUUUUUCCCCCAGUGUGAUUGUGCAUGCUUCUAAUACCAUUGCUCAGGAGGCAGGCAGAUCUCUCUCUGAGUUCGAGGCCAGCCUAAGUCCAUGGGGUGAGUUCCAGGACAGUCAGGGCUACACAGAGAAACCCGGUCUUGAAAAGCCAAAAAGAGAGAGAGAGAGUAGGUUACUCUGGUGUCCUUACUUUCUACCUUGUUUGAGACAGCCUCUCUUGUCUGCUGCUGUGUGAGCCCUGACAGCUGGCCUGAACUUCAAGGGAUUCUCCUGCCUCUACCUCAUCCAAUGUGGGAGUGCUGGGAUUACAGAUGUUCACUGUGACCAGCUCGACAUUUCUGGGUACCAAAUUCAGUCUCUCAUGGUUGUGCACUGAACACUUUACCCACUAAGCUGUUUCCCCAGCCCCCCAGAUGCCUUCUGUUGCAUGCUUGCAAUGUAGCCUGUGUGACUAAAAAAUCAAAUUCUUCAUUCUACUAAAAUUAAUUUUUUUCUUUCUUUUUUUUUUUUUUUUUUUUUUUUUUGGUUUUACGAGACAGGGUUUCUCUGUAUAGCCCUGGCUGUCCUGGAACUCACUUUGUGUACCAGGCUGGCCUCAAACUCAGAAAUCCACCUGCCUCUGCCUCCCGAGUGCUGGGAUUAAAGGAGUGCGCCACCACACCCAGCACACCGGCACAUUUUGUUGGAUAAUAAGUGACAGUAAGGAUCUAGUCCGUGGUGUGGGCUGUAAACAGUUCGGUUCCUGCCCUCUCUGUUGGGCGACUCCCAGCUGGUCAAAUGCAGUAUGCACUGGGAGGGCCACCUUUCCACUCGGGCCCCACCAUUUGACCUUCUUGUGUUGCUAAAGCGAUGGAUACUCUCCCAGCCUGCUCUCCCCAGCCUGGCUUGUGUUGGGUUCUUGCCACGAUCACUGUGAGGCUGAGCAGAUGCCUCUGUCGUCUUUACGGGGUUCCAUGAAGGAAGAUCUGGAAUCCCACCUGCAUUGGCACAAGUUUUGGGUGGCCUGUAGGAGGAGUGUGGGAUUCAAGUAUUCAAAGGUGAGUAUUAGGGUCAGAACUGCCUCAUGGGGGAUCCAGUGACCUGAAAAGACCAGAGCCAACUGGGGUAGAAUCUGCAAAGGCGAAACUGCCCUCCUGCAGAUGGAGGAGGGAACACAGAACAGAAGCUGCUAAUUAUAGAACAAAAUUUCACAUUUCUGGAAAGCAAAGAAUCAAGAGUGGGGGAAACGCUUGCUUAUUAGACCACUCACCGAGACUUUGUUUGUUUUUGUUUUGAGACAAUGUCCUCAAUGUCCAGGCUGGCCUCUAAUUCACUAUGUAGCCAAGGAUGACCUAGGCAAGAUCUCUGUCAACUGAACUGUAGCUACUGUUAUUGCUAUAGUACUGGAGGUUUGGGGGAAGCAUUCAAGAGCUGGAGGCAGGAGGAUGGGGAAAGGGUUGAAGGUAGACUUCUCUGGGAUGUGUGAGGUGUGAGGACCUGGUACUAACACAACCUCAUGUCAAAAAAAAAAAAAAAAAAAAAAAAAAAGCUAUGCACAGUGACAGGCUUUGUUGGAGCCUGGCCUUGAAUAGCCAGUUUGCCUGCUGGACCCAGGAGGAAAGGGGCGGAGCCAGAGGCUGCACUGGAUACUGUGAAGGCUACGCUUGGGAUCCUUUAAUGGCAAAGAUGGAAGGCGCAUCAGCUACUGGUGUGUCCAUUUCUCAAAUGGCAACUUGGCAACCAACCUGUGCCCUGUUCUGUCCUACGGGGAGGUAGUGUUUUGUCUCCCAGCUUUGUCCCCAGUCAACCCUAGAUUUCCACCAACACUUGCACUGUCUGGCCUGGUCGCCCUCCUCGUCGCUCUGCUCUGGUGUCUGUGUUACCUGGGCCUCUGUUACCUUUUCUUCUGUCUCUUUUGCAGCAAGGUCUCACUAUGCAGUUCUGGCUGUCUUGGAACUUACUACAUAGAGCAGGGUGAUCUUGAACUCACACAUCCACCUGCCUCAAGUACUGGGACUAGAGGUGUGCACUAUAGUGCCCAGCCUGAUGGGGAAAAAAAGAAAAAGAAGUCAAAUUUCUUGGGUUUUUGUUAUCACUCGAGGUAGCUUAUUUAGGGUUGGCUUAAGGACUUUUGUUUAAGGCGGUGUCUCAUCUAUCCCAGGCUGGCCUCAAACUCAGUACGUAGAUAGGGAUGGCCUUGUAACUCCUCCUCCUGCAUUCUCCUCUGAAAUACCAGAUUUAUGGACUCAUUAACCCAGGGACUCAUUUUGUAGUCCAAGCUAACCUCAGCCUUGCUCAGCCUCAGAUGACAGGUAUCCACAUCUGGCCCUUGAACUUCGGUAUCUACACUGAGACCACAUCCCAUAGAAUUAAGAUCCAGUGCUCUUUAGCAAGGCCUCUGCUCUCCCUGGAUUUGGUCAUGAACCUUAGCCCCAAACCUGUUUGUGUAUGCAUUUGCCUUCACUUAAGGACUCAUAAUGCUCAAUGUACAGUGAUACUGGACACUUCCUGAAGGCAGGUGAACAUCUGGUUUGGUUUCUGUGUUGCCCAUGUGAUUGUUUGGGUGGGUGAAGGGCUAGAUGUAUGGAUUGAAGGAUGGACUGAUAGGUGUGUAUAGCUGAGUGGAGUGAUAGCUGAUAGCUGGAUGGAGAUGACUAGGACUCAACCAACCAGUGUUCUCUGCAUGUGUGAACAAAUGAUCCCAGUCAAAGCUAACUUGCGGCACCCAAGUCCAAGGAUCACGACUGACAAAGGCUGGAGCUGCGUGCCAUGUGGAAGGGGCUGAUUUCCAGGAUGACCCCCUUCCUCCCUCUGAGGUGUUCCUCAGUCCUAGGCUCUCAAAACAAAACCAGGGAAAAGAUGCCCAUCCCUGGGAAGGAAGCCAUAGGCUUCACACCUUCCUGCUGUCAGUCACAGCUCUGGAAAGGGCAGCUUCAGACUAGCAGAGGGGCUUGAAACCCAGUUAUGCAGAUGGAGGCAAAGGGUGUGGACACCCCUCGGUUGAGGAAGGUAGUGUUAGUGCAGGCCAACUUGGCCUAGGUUUCUGGAGGAGUACCUUUUCAACUCUUCAAGACAGUCUGAAGGUGUGGUUAUUUGUGAGACUUCAUUAAAGGGCCUGUAGCCCUCCCACUAGAUACCAUCAGCAAGGCCUAGCCCACCCUAGAUGCCCCCCCCAAUAGAGCUCCACACCCACCCAACCUGCUCCCCACACCCAGCAAAGCCACAGAGCCACAAGCUGUUUGUGUAAGGUAAGGUGUGCACUUUUAUUGGUCUCAAGUCAGUGUACAGGCCAGCCCUGGCUGCCUCAACACCUCAACCCCCUCCCAGGGAGACCAAAGCCUUCAUACAUCAAGUUGGGGGGACAAAAAAAAGGGAGGCCUCAGACCUGGGCCAUUCAGAAAUUAAAAACAAAAAUGAAGUAUUAAGGCGGAAGAUUUAAAAAAAUUUUUGCAGUACAUAAUUUACACAGAAGCAAUGCUGUCACCUUCCCCGGGGUGGACUCAGGGCAUGGACGCGACCAUCCUCCUCUUAGGAGUGGGGGUGGCUUUUGGGAGGGUGAGGGACUUCCUGUAACCACUUAUUUCAUGGAUACUUGGAAUGACUAUUAAAAAAAGACAAAACCAAAAAAAAAAAAAAA